GACGAACGCUGGCGGCGUGCUUAACACAUGCAAGUCGAACGGAAAGGCCCUGCUUUUGUGGGGUGCUCGAGUGGCGAACGGGUGAGUAACACGUGAGUAACCUGCCCUUGACUUUGGGAUAACUUCAGGAAACUGGGGCUAAUACCGGAUAGGAGCUCCUGCUGCAUGGUGGGGGUUGGAAAGUUUCGGCGGUUGGGGAUGGACUCGCGGCUUAUCAGCUUGUUGGUGGGGUAGUGGCUUACCAAGGCUUUGACGGGUAGCCGGCCUGAGAGGGUGACCGGCCACAUUGGGACUGAGAUACGGGCCAGACUCCUACGGGAGGCAGCAGUGGGGAAUAUAGCACAAUGGGCGGAAGCCUGAUGCAGCAACGCCGCGUGCGGGAUGACGGCCUUCGGGUUGUAAACCGCUUUCGCCUGAGACGAAGCGUGAGUGACGGUAAUGGGUAAAGAAGCACCGGCUAACUACGUG
rnacentral:rRNA from 1 species